rnacentral:lncRNA from 1 species
AGCAGCUCCAGGGGAGGUGUCUGGGUGCAGGCAGCUGUCUGAAGCCAGCAGGAAGCAGCAGUUAGGAAAAAGAGUGAUGGGGUGGCCAGAUUUGGAGUUGGAAGUGAAGAAGUUCAGGUCGAAAGAGAGCGGGCUGAAGGAAGAGACCAGGACAGAGCUCCAGAAAAAUGCAAGACUCUAUUCUAGGUUGGAGGAGUCUAAGAUGAAGAAGGAGAAAGAGAAGCUCCCCCACGCAUGUCUGUCUCAAGAGCACCAGUGAGAGGCAGGAGUUUGCCUCUCGUUGCCCCAUCUGGUGGCGAGCCUGGAGGGCUGCAGGCUGUUGGAGCCCUGAGCCAGGUCAACCCCAACCUGGGUCUUCUCCCAGGACCAGGAGCAAGCAGAGGAAGCCAAUAUACCUGGAGGACAGCAAUGACAAAGUUCACUGGGCUGGAGUGAGAGACGACCGGACUUAACGUCUUAUCAAUUUGGUCAGCUUAGGAAAUUCUUUGUCUUUUUGUACUUCAUUUUCUUCUUGGAAAAAAAGUGGGUUACUGUGAGAUUUUGUGAAGUUGUGUCAAGGUAAAAGCACCCAGAAGAGCAGGCAGUGGAUCCUGUGGUCUCAGUAAAGGAGUCACCCCUCUUCCUUGUUUCCCUCCCCACCUCCACCCUGUAUUUCCCCCCUAACACGACUGUGUAUCUGGCCAGAAGUUACUUCUGCUAUAGGCACUAUAGCUGGGAACAAGAGUAAGAACCUGUGUGGGAAUAGUAGGAUCAAGGCAUGGAGCCCUCAGUGGAUCUGGGACACCACCAAGGUCCUGCCUUUCUGCAAUGUGAAGCCUUCCUGGAACUUUCUGUUUCACAAGAGGGGGGACAUUCUCCAUCACCUUAGACAUCCAGGCAUAGGAAAUUAUAUGUUUCUAAUUUGGGAGUUGAUGGUGGGAUUUGAACCUGGGGCUGUGUGCUUGUUAGGUUGUUCUAUAUUAUUAUUAUUAUUAUUAUUAUUAUUAUUAUUAUUAUUACCAUUAUUUAGGGACAGGGUCACUUUAUGUAGCUGUAGCUGGUAUUAAGCUCAUACAGAUCCUCUCUUCCUCUUGAAUGCUGGCAUUAAGUGUGUGUGCCACCAUACCUGGCUGUAUCACUAAUUUAUAAGGUCCUGUCCAGGUCUGGGCUAUUACUAAUUUUAUGAGCUAAAGCAACAUUUACAAGAACAAAAGUCAAAAGCACAAGUGACUGAAUAUCUUGAGGAAGACAAGCAUUACACACAUAUAGACCUUAUCAUGUGGGUUAAAGGUGAGAGGGAGGGCAAAUGAUUCCUACAUAUUGGAAACAACAAAAUAUUAAUAUUUUCCUCUCAUGGAUUUUUCUUAAACAAAACAAUAGAAUGGUCUCUUGACAGAAAACUUUGGGAUCUAGGCAUGUGUCUGCCUGCAGAAGGUGGCUUUGGCA